rnacentral:lncRNA from 1 species
AUAAGUAGAAUACUCACAUUAGAGGAUGCAACUUUCAAGUGAUAGAAGUUUCAUUCAAGAUUUACUUUCUAUUUACUUACUUAUUAUCCAAUCUUACCUGGGAACCUCAUUAUAAUGAAGGUUCGAGUGGCUAUAAAGUGAACAAGCAAGGACUUUUACUUCAUUAAGUAUAUCAGGUGGGCUUACUAACUCAAGAAGUAAAGAUGCAUACUUUAUUAUAUAAAGUUUGAGUGUAUGCAUUUAUUUUCCAAUUAUUGACUUGCCAAUAUUUGAGAUUUGUAUGAUACCAUCUACAUAGAAGAACGAAUUCGGGUCCUGAGCGAGUCAGGAUUUGUGUACACAGAGUUGACAGUUAACCUUUGUGUUAGCUUGUCAUCGUGUUUGAGAAGGAGGCCUACUUCUCAACUCUCAGAGUUAUAUGAUGCGUAGAUAUGGUACAUACAUGUUAAUUGUCUGCAGACGUAUAUGAUAGUAGAGAUUAUAGAGUAAGUUUUACGUUUUGCUGCACAGGUUAUUUAAGUAAAACUCCUAGUGUGAUGUUGAGAUGGCAAGUUCAAUAUAUAGCUCUAAGAGCAAGCUUUAAAGUUAUUUCGGCAUGACCACUGAGUGCUUUUUGGUACUCAGCCCUGCGUAUGUUUCUAAAUAUGCAGGUUAAGCUGUGGUGUAGA